rnacentral:rRNA from 1 species
AUUCCAGCUCCAAUAGCGUAUAUUAAAGUUGUUGCGGUUAAAAAGCUCGUAGUUGGAGUUCUGCCAGGUGCCACCUGUCCGCCCCAGUGGUGAGUACGUGGUGCGCAUUUGGCCCUUUCAAGGGGAGCGUAUUUGCACUUAAUUGUGUGGUGCGGGAUCCUUGACUUUUACUUUGAGGAAAUAAGAGUGUUCCAAGCAGGCUCUCGUCGUGCAUAGCUCAGCAUGGAAUAAUAGCAUUGGACCUCGAUUCUAAGCUGUUGGUUGCCAGAAGCGAGGUAAUGAUUAAUAGGGACAGUCGGGGGCAUUUGUAUUCAAACGACAGAGGUGAAAUUCUUGGACCGUUUGAAGGCAAACUACUGUGAAAGCAUUUGCCAAGAAUGUUUUCAUCG